rnacentral:rRNA from 1 species
GAUGAACGCUAGCGGCAGGCCUAACACAUGCAAGUCGAGGGGUAGAAGCUUUCGGGCUUUGAGACCGGCGCACGGGUGCGUAACGCGUAUGCAAUCUGCCUUGUACUGAGGGAUAGCCCAGAGAAAUUUGGAUUAACACCUCAUAGUAUUUUAGUGUGGCAUCACAUUAUUAUUAAAGGUUACGGUACAAGAUGAGCAUGCGUCCCAUUAGCUAGUUGGUAUGGUAACGGCAUACCAAGGCUACGAUGGGUAGGGGUCCUGAGAGGGAGAUCCCCCACACUGGUACUGAGACACGGCCCAGACUCAUACGGGUGGCAGCAGGGAGGAAUAUUGGUCAAUGGUCGCAAGACUGAACCAGCCAUGCCGCGUGCAGGAUGAAGCAUCUAUGGUGUGUAAACUGCUUUUGUACGGGAAGAAACACCGCUACGUGUAGCGGCUUGACGGUACCGUAAGAAUAAGGAUCGGCUAACUCCGUGCCAGCCGCCGCAGUAAUAC